UCCUCUUCCGCUUGAUUAGCCUGUGG
rnacentral:piRNA from 1 species